AAAAUUUGCACUGCUGCUCUCGCGGACUCUUCCUUAAUGCACUUUAUGCAUUUUAAUCAUCUUCGGACUUUCCGAAGCCUACCCACUCGACAGUCAGUCGAUUCUAAACGAAGUCAAAUCCUCGAAUUUCGAUAAUUCACUUCCCUUACAUCCUCCCCACCUUACAAGAGUUUCGUCCUCGAAACGAACUCGACAAUAUUAAACUCAUCGAGAAUUUAAACUUUAG
rnacentral:lncRNA from 1 species